GACGAACGCUGGCGGCGUGCUUAACACAUGCAAGUCGAACGGAAAGGCCCUGCUUUUGUGGGGUGCUCGAGUGGCGAACGGGUGAGUAACACGUGAGUAACCUGCCCUUGACUUUGGGAUAACUUCAGGAAACUGGGGCUAAUACCGGAUAGGAGACCCUGCUGCAUGGAGGGGGUUGGAAAGUUUCGGCGGUUGGGGAUGGACUCGCGGCUUAUCAGCUUGUUGGUGGGGUAGUGGCUUACCAAGGCUGUGACGGGUAGCCGGCCUGAGAGGGUGACCGGCCACAUUGGGACUGAGAUACGGCCCAGACUCCUACGGGAGGCAGCAGUGGGGAGUAUUGCACAAUGGGCGGAAGCCUGAGGCAGCAACGCCGCGUGCGGGAUGACGGCCUUCGGGUUGUAAACCGCUUUCGCCUGUGACGAAGCGUGAGUGACGGUAAUGGGUAAAGAAGCACCGGCUAACUACGUG
rnacentral:rRNA from 1 species